GAUGAACGCUGGCGGCGUGCCUAAUACAUGCAAGUCGAGCGAACAGACGAGGAGCUUGCUCCUCUGACGUUAUCGGCGGACGGGAGAGUAACACGUGGAUAACCUACCUAUACGACUGGGAUAACUUUGGGAAACCGGAGCUAAUACCGGAUAAUAUAUUGCAUCUCAUUGUUCAAUAGUGAAAUACGGUUUUUCUGUCACUUAUAGAUGGAUCCGCGCCGCAUUAGCUAGUUGGUAAGGUAACGGCUUACCAAGGCAACGAUGGGUAGCCGACCCGAGAGCGAGAUCGGCUACCCUGGAACUGAGGAACGGUCCAGACUCCUACGGGAGGCAGCGGUAGGGAAUCUUCCGCGAGGGACGAGAGCUGGACGGAGCAACGCCGCGUGAGUGAUGAAGGUGUUCUGAUCGGAAAACUCUGUUAGUAGGGGAGAACAAAUGUGUAAGUAACUAUGCACAUAUUGACGGUACCUGAACAGAAAGCCACGGCUAACUACGUG
rnacentral:rRNA from 1 species